AGUGAACGCUGGCGGUAGGCCUAACACAUGCAAGUCGAACGGCAGCACAGUAAGAGCUUGCUCUUACGGGUGGCGAGUGGCGGACGGGUGAGGAAUACAUCGGAAUCUACUUUUUCGUGGGGGAUAACGUAGGGAAACUUACGCUAAUACCGCAUACGACCUACGGGUGAAAGCAGGGGAUCUUCGGACCUUGCGCGAUUGAAUGAGCCGAUGUCGGAUUAGCUAGUUGGCGGGGUAAAGGCCCACCAAGGCGACGAUCCGUAGCUGGUCUGAGAGGAUGAUCAGCCACACUGGAACUGAGACACGGUCCAGACUCCUACGGGAGGCAGCAGUGGGGAAUAUUGGACAAAGGGCGCAAGCCUGAUCCAGCCAUACCGCGUGGGUGAAGAAGGCCUUCGGGUUGUAAAGCCCUUUUGUUGGGAAAGAAAAGCAGCAGGUUAAUACCCCGCUGUUAUGACGGUACCCAAAGAAUAAGCACCGGCUAACUUCGUG
rnacentral:rRNA from 1 species